GCCACUGAACCCCAGCAUGGGUGACAGAACAAGACCUAAAACCAUCUCAAAAAAAAAAAAAAAUGAGUUAUAUCUGGAGGUGGAUGAGUCUCCUACUGUUUGUUAUUGUAUCAUUGCUUAUAGAUGAUUGCAUAUUGGAAUGAUUUCUAAGUUAUUUUACUCAACAUAGAUAUUUUCUCAAAUAUGUAUAUAUCAAAUUGCUAAUUUUUUUCCCCUCCUUCAAAAUGCAAUUGACAAGUAAAAGUUAAUUGGCUUGACAUUGCUUUAUGCUUAGAAAGUCAGACUUGGACUGACUGGGUCAUCUAAUGUUAUUCUUGCUGAAUUCUAGUAACAACCAGCAAAACAUCACAGGCAUCUUCGCUGUAACAUAUCACUCUUGUAUUACUGAGAAAACAGCAAGAGGUAGUAAAGACAAUGCUGGGCUUGGAGUCAGAAGUCCUGAGUUUGAAUCCCAGCUCAUUCGCCUACCACCUAGGUAAAGUGGGCAAGUCAUUUUAACUCCACUGACCCCCAGUUUUUCUUAUUCAUAAAAUAAGGAAAAUAAAUAAUAUUUUAUUCAACGAUCUCAUGGCGGGGGGGUAGCAUGUUCAAAUGUGAAAGUGCUAUAUACACAAUAAAAGGUUGAAACACUUGGUCAGUGUUGUGGAAACCUAAAUAAUAUUACACAAAUUUCUAACUCACUUGGACUGUAAAACUCUGCCAUUUUUUCCCACUCUCUAAUUUUUAAGGCUUUACUGCUUUAUUUCACAUCCGCUCCAAAUCCCACCACCAUCUUUAGGCUCUUAUGAUUAAAAACUGUUUGUUUGAUUUGUUCAUUCUUUAGUCUAAUACUUCAAGACUGCCAGUUCUGCUAUGCUUUAUGUUAGAGUUUAAUUUUAAUAAAAUAAGAGAGAGAUCCACUUGUACAAGUGUAUCCAUGUGCUUCCAUAUUUCAUAUUGAUAUAGGUGAUGCCUGCUCUCAGAAAUAGAAUCUAUCUAUGGUAAUCUGCUAGGUUCCUGUCCUUUGCUCUUGCUUCUAAACUCCAGAGCCUUUAGAAAUACGUAUUUAUCAGCAUUUUCGGUUCUUAGGCAACAUAGUCUUGCUUUCAAAAGCAAAGAGGACAACAUAUGGCUGUUCUCACCUUUGGCAAGAGAGAACCUCUCAAUGCAUGCAAUUAGAAGGGCCUCUUACUCUUCUAGCUAGCUGAACCUUUUUCAUAAGAUUUCACUAUUUAAUUUUCAAAUAAAAUGCAAAGCUCAUGACUAAUGUUUUAUAAUUAUUGCUUAAAACUAAGUGUUUCCAGGCUUGAAUUUUGCAGUAUUAAGAAGGAAUCUUGCUUAAUGUACACGGACAAAAAUGUCCUGCUUAGUCACAGUGCCAAGAAAGCAAUGCAUCCAAGAGCAGAAUGGAAGCACUGACAUUUAAUCUAGCAUAUUGCAGCAAAGUGUGGUGUAGUAUGCUGGAGCACAGUUAGAGAACAAUAGUGGCAGAGAGAUGGUAAAAGAGGGCUGCGUUCAAUGCUUUCCCAAAUACUAUUCUCCUUCCUGGAUGUCAUCAGGGCGAGGCUGAGAUGCUUUUGGAGACAAGGAGAAAGUGAGAUCAACAUGCUGAGUUUUCAUUUAAUAAAGCAGUCUCCUUUCAGCCCUCUCCUUGAUUGUACUUGAAGACUGUAUUUUCGGUCUUAAACAGCUUCACUAAAGUAAAAUUAUUUCAGGAAUUUUUCACUUAAAACAUGAACCCUUUCUUUUAGCAUGUUCCCUUCUGUCUACUGAAACAUGAUUUAGGGAUUAGGUAUACAGUGAGGUUCUGGUUUUGUAAUGACAAUUUUAACUCUAGCUGCAGAGACUUAAUCAGAGUCUUCAAGAAACUACAUUAGUGCUUCUUUUCUGUCUCUCCUAAUGUUCAACAGUUAAAAUGCAUAAUAGAGUCUCCUACCUUAUUUUGGGUAUGAUUUCCUAUUAAAAUAUUGAAGACUGUAGGUGUUGGGAUGGGAGCACAGGAAAAAUAAAACAGAAUUUUGUCCAAAGGUUUAUAUAUUUUUCUAACUGCCUGAAUAUUACAAGUUUUAAUUAUUUGUUAAUUCUCCGUUUCAUUCUCUCAUCAA